rnacentral:misc_RNA from 1 species
GCUCCGUUGGUGAACCAGCGGAGGGAUCAUUACAGAGUUGCAAGACUCCCAAACCAUUGUGAACGUUACCUAUCCCGUUGCUUCGGCGGGCGGCCCGGGCCCCGCGCCCGGCGCCCCCCGGCCCCCCGUGGGCGCCCGCCGGAGGUAAACCAAACCCUUGAAUUGCAUGGCCUCUCUGAGUCUUCUGUACUGAAUAAGUCAAAACUUUCAACAACGGAUCUCUUGGUUCUG